rnacentral:rRNA from 1 species
GAUGAACGCUGGCGGCGUGCUUAACACAUGCAAGUCGAACGAUAAAGCCCAGCUUGCUGGGUGUAUUAGUGUCGAACGGGUGAGUAACACGUGAGUAACCUGCCCUUAACUCUGGGAUAAGCCUGUGAAACUGGGUCUAAUACCGCAUAGGAGCGUCCACCGCAUGGUGGGUGUUGGAAAGAUUUAUCGGUGUUGGAUGGACUCGCGGCCUAUCAGCUUGUUGGUGAGGUAAUGGCUCACCAAGGCGACGACGGGUAGCCGGCCUGAGAGGGUGACCGGCCACACUGGGAGGGAGACAAGGCCCAGACUCCUCCGGGAGGAAGCAGUGGGGAAUAUUGCACAAUGGGCGGAAGCCUGAUGCAGCGACGCCGCGUGAGGGAUGACGGCCUUCGGGUUGUAAACCUCUUUCAGUAGGGAAGAAGCGAAAGUGACGGUACCUGCAGAAGAAGCACCGGCUAACUACGUG